AUUGAACGCUGGCGGCAGGCUUAACACAUGCAAGUCGAGCGAGCGGCGGACGGGUGAGUAAUGUCUGGGAAACUGCCUGAUGGAGGGGGAUAACUACUGGAAAAGGUAGCUAAUACCGCAUACCAUCAGAUGUGCCCAGAUGGGAUUAGCGAGUAGGGGGGGUAAUGGCUCACCUAGGAGACGAUCCCUAGCUGGUCAGAGAGGAUGACCAGCCACACUGGAACUGAGACACUGUCCAGACUCCUACGUGAGGCAGCAGUGGGGAAUAUUUCACACUGGGCGCAAGCCUGUUGCAGCCAUGCCGCGUGUGUGAAGAAGUCCUUCGGGUUGUAAAGCACUUUCAGCGAGGAGGCGUUACUCGCAGAAGAAGCACCGGCUAACUCCGUGCCAGCAGCCGCGGUAAGAC
rnacentral:rRNA from 1 species